AGACCUGCGCCGCAGUCCUGUCCUGCCUGCCGGGCUCGCCGAGUCGCCGCGCGGCUCCCGGUGCUGGCGUGGGUGGGCGCCCGCGGCCUGCCCCGAAACCCAAGAGUCCUCGCUGGUCUUUCGCAGACUCUGACCCGCUUCCGAGCCAGGCCCAAGGUGCAGUCCCCGUGGGAGGGCUGGGGCCCAGGCACCGUCUGGUCUCCGAUUUCUGUUCGGGAACUGCUCAGGGAUUCGAUGGGGAGAGAGGAGACCCCCGAAGUUCCUCCCUAAGGCCACACUGAGCAGGCCCCCAGCCCUGCCUUUACUCGCCCGCCAAGCCUGGGGGGUGGCCUCUGCGCCCACAUAGUCGCAGUCCUAGGACCGCCUUUGGUCGUGGUGCACGGUUUCACCGUAACGUGUGUCAGUCCCCACUCCGCAUUCCUCAGUUGUCAUCUUUGUAGGGUGAUUUCUCCCCGAUCUGUGUCCUUUUUCCGCUGCUUGUGCUGUAGUGAAACCGACCCAUCUGCAGUCGCUGUAUUUCUUGAAUUUUUGUGAGGCAUUCUUUUUUAACUCUUGUUGCCCAGGCUGGAGUGUAAUGGCGCGAUUUCGGCCCACUGCAACCUCCGCCUCCAGGAUUCAAGCGAUUCUCCUGCCUCAGCCUCCCGAGUAGCUGAGAUUACAGGCGCCCGCCACCACGCCCGGCUAAUUUUUUGUAUUUUUAGUAGAAACGGGGUUUCACCACGUUAGCCAGGCUGGUCCCGAACUCCUGACCUCAGGUGAUCCGCCUGCCUCGGCCUCCCAAAGUGCUAGAGCCGCUUUUUUUUUUUUUCUUUUUUAAUUUUUUUAAAAAAUAGAGACAAGGUCUCACUAUGUUGCCUAGGCUGGUCUCGAACUCCUGGGCCCAAGUGAUCCUCCCACUUCGGCCUCCCAAAGUGCUGGGAUCACAGGAGUGAGCCAUCCCACCCGACCCAAGCACCUGUACUUUGUCACUCUCCCAUUUCUGGCUAGACCAGGACUCCCUUUGACAUCUCUAACCUUGCAGAGGUGUGACUCUGCCAGAGCACUCUUAGAUGUCGUACAGGUGCAUUUGAAGCCUUGUAUUUUCUCUUAAAAGAUAACUGGCGGGUAAUGGAGCGUGCUGACUCUAUUGCUAAAGAGAAAGAAUAGGCUGGGCGCGGUGGCUCACGCCUGGGAGCCACUUUGGGAGGCCGAGGCAGGUGGAUUACCUGAGGUCAGGAGUUUGAGACCAGCCUGGCCAACAUGACGAAACCCCGUCCCUACUAAAAAUACAAAAAUUAGCUGGGUGUGGUGGCACGCGCCUGUAGUCCCAGCUACUCAGGAGGCUGAGGCAGGAGAAUCUCUUGAACCCGGGAGGUGGAGGUGGCAGUGAGCCGAGAUCGAGCCACUCUACUCCAGCCUGGGUGACAGAGCGAGACUCCGUUCCCCCCCAAAAAAAAUAAUAAAAGAGAAAGAACUGAGAUUUGUUUGUUAGUUAUAAACAGCAACAACAGAUCCGGGAAAAGACCACCACAGCUUUAUCCAGACUUGGAAAGAAAAAUUGUGUGAGACCUUAAAGGGCUACAAGAACCCUACAAAGUUUUUCUUAGCCCAAGUUUUAAUGACUUUGUUAAAAUUUCUGUUGUUAAUUUGUUGUGUGCCUACAGGCCCUGACAGGAAUACUAGAAACCCAUUGUAAAUUAAGGUCUUGAAGACAUAUUUAUCAAUCAUUCAAUAAAAGUAUUGAUAUUUACCAGGUUCUGUUUUAAACAGAAGAGACAUAAUAACAGAGUCAAAUAAACCCCUAGUUAGGGAAUAAUAUGCAAGUCAACAAAUAAAUACAUCAAGAAGUCUCAGGGCCAGUCGAGGUGGCUCUAGCCUGUAAUCCCAGCACUUUGGGAGGCCGAGGUGGGAGAAUCACCUAAGGUCAGGAGUUAGAGACCAGCCUGGCCAACAUGGUGAAACCCUGUCUCUACUAAAAAUACAAAAAAAUUAGCCGGGCGUGGUGGCGGGUACCUGUAGUCCCAGCUACUCAGGAGGCUGAGGCAGGAGAAUGGAUUGAACCCGGGAGGUGGAGGUAGCAGUGAGCCAAGAUCGUGCCUCCAGCCUGGGCAACAAAGUGAGAGUUUAUCUCAAAAAAAAAAAAAAAAGUUUCACGUAUCCGCCAGGCGGGGUGGCUUAGGUCUGUAAUCCCAGCACUUUGGGAGGCCAAGGCAGCCGGAUCACUUGAGUCCAGGAAUUCCAGACCAGCCUGGCCAACAUGGUGAAACGUCUCUACAAAAAAUACAAAAGUAAGCUAGGCGUGGUGGCACAUGCCUUUAGUCCCAGCUACUCUGGAGGCUGAGGGGGGAGGAUUACCUGAGCCCAUACAUGGAGGUUGCAGUGAGCUGAGAUGGCGCCACUGCAUACCAGCCUGGGUGACAGAGCGAGACCCUAUCUCAUAAUAAAUUAGUAAAAAAUGCUGCAUUGAAAAAAGUCUCUGGCCGGGCAUGGUGGCUCAUGCCUGUAAUCCCAGCACUUUGGGAGGCCGAGGUGGGUGGAUUACCUGAGGUCAGGAGUUCAAGACCAGCCCAGCCAACAUGGCAAAACCCCAUCUCUACUCAAAAUACAAAAUUUAGCCGGGUGUGGUGGCUUGCACCUGUAAUCCCAGCUACUUGGGAGGCUGAGGCAGGAGAAUUGCUUGAACCCGGGACGUGACAGUUGCAGUGAGCCAAGAUUGUGCCAUUGCACUCCAGCCUGAGUGACAGAGUGAAACUCUGUCUCAAAAAAAAAAAAACAGUCUCAGGUAUCAAUAAGUGUUGUGAAGAAAACAAGGUAAUGAGAUUGAGGGGAGAAGGAGGCAACAGUAAAUUGGGUGAUUAAAUAAGACUUCUGUGAAGAGUGACAUUUAAGCUGAAGUCCUUUAAAUGGUCCUACAUGAUCUACUUCCCCAUCCAAUUUACAUGUACCUUCUAACAUAUUUUUUCUAAGUUGGGCAUGUGGUCCCAGCUACUCAGGAAGCUAAGGAGGUGGGAGAAUCCCUUGAACCUGGGAAUUCGAGGCUGCAGUGAGCUGAAAUUGCACCACUGCACUCCAGCCUGAGUGACAGAGCAAGACCCUAUCUCCUAACAAACAAACAUAUUUUGACAUUUACUUGUGUAUUAGGAUUAUUGUUUUUUGUAUGUCCUCAGCAAGAAAAGGGAAUUUUGAUUUGUUUAUUGGUAACAAAAACUGGUACAUUGUAUGUGCUCAUUAUGUGUUGAGUAAAUAAAUUUGGAGCUUACUGAGCAAGCAGAAAGUAGUAAGAGAUGUCAGAGAGGCAGGCAGGGGCCAGAGCAUGCAGGGAUUUUAUUACAGAUCUUAUGGGAAGGCAUUGAAGGUUAUUAUUUUUUUUCUUUUGUAUGGUCUUGCUCUCUUGCCCAGGCUGGAGUGCAGUGGUGUAAUCUCAGCUCACUGCAGCCUCCAACUCCUGGAUUCAAGCGAUUCUCCUUCUGCAGCCUCUCCUGUAGCUGGGAUUAUAGGCACCCGCCACCAACGCCUGGGUAAGUUUUUGUAUUUUUAGUUCAGGUAUCCUCCAGGAAGGGUGGCUUGCGCCUGUAAUCCCAGCACUUUGGAAGGCCAAAGCGGGCAGAUCACUUGAGGUCAGGAGUUCAAGACCAGCCUGACCAACAUGGUGAAACCUCAUCUCUACCAAAAAUAUAAAAAAUUAGCCAGGUGUCGUGGUUCGCGCCUGUAAUCCCAGCUACUUGGG
rnacentral:lncRNA from 1 species